AUGGGUCGUACCAAUGUCAAUCCUAUUUGGGGGAAGAUUUGGAAAUUAUCGUGUUCGGCAAAGGUAAAAAUAUUUAUCUGGCGAACGUUGCAUGGAACUCUACCGUGUCGUGUUACACUUGCCAAUAGACAUAUGAAAGUUUCGCCCCUUUGUCCAUCAUGCUCAAAUGGGCAAGAAGAUACAAAACACAUCUUGUUUUUGUGUGAGAAGGCAAAAGAGGUUUGGGGUAAACUGGGGAUGUACGAGGUAAUUAAGAAAGCUUGUGUUAUUGAUCGUGCGGGUGAGGCGGUCCUUGAAUUCUUACUUCUUAUGCCGCACCAAGAACUAUCUGUAUUAGGAUGCCAGAAUGCAAGUGAAUUAAUCGCGAUAACCGCUUGGUAUUUAUGGUGGGAGAGACGCAUGUUGGUUCAUGAAGGGAAGUCUCAAGAUGUGAACCAGAUUUCGAUGGGGGUUCGUGCUAUAAUGGCAAACUAUGUGAAUGCCCACUCCCCUAGUGCGUCUAGUAGAAAAGAAGGAUGGAGCCGACCUCCUAUGGGUUUUGUUAAACUAAAUGUUGAUGCUUCUUUUGACCAUGAUCUGCUCAGGGGCACGGUAGGUGCUGUACUCAGAGAUGUCAAAGGAAAAUUCAUUGUUGGCGGAAAUGGGAAGAUCGAUUGGUGUGCUGAUGUACUAACAGCAAAAGCGAUGGCUCUGGGGUUUGGUUUAAUUCUUGCACAAAAGGCGGGAUGCAAUCGUCUUAUUAUCAACUCUGAUAAUAUGGAAGUCAUCGACACAAUGAAAAAUGGAGGACAAUCGGCGGGAGUUGCGGGGCAGUCUUCGAGGAUUGCUACUUCAUGGCAUGUGAUUUUUCGUUGA
rnacentral:rRNA from 1 species